rnacentral:lncRNA from 1 species
UUGUAAUGUGUUUUACACAACAGUUAUAUUAUUGUGUAUUAUACAACUCCAAAGAGGAGUCUAUACCUAGCACUUUCUCUAAUCAACUUUGGAAUUUAAAUUAUUUUCAAAAGGCUGUGGGUUUACUUAAUCUACCUUUGAGCUAAAUUACACUCACUCCCAACAUAGACUUCGGUAUAUAACUGGUAGCCUGGUAACUAACAGAAAAUCUGCCAUGUUUGGAAGUGUGAGAGGAGAGGGAGAAUUGAAAUGACCUUUCAGAGAAAGUUCUCUAACCUCUGUCUUUAGGCAGGGAGAGAGGGAGCUGCUAGAGAGAAAAGGCUGGAAGGGAAGGGAUCUCGAUGGCCCUACAGGGAGGUGGCCCUUUAACCUUCCCCUUGUAUGCUGGCUUGUGUUGAAAUGUAGUUUCUGGGUUACUGGCCUCAGGCCAGCAGGGACUGUGAACAUAGCAUGUAUGUGCAGCUCCUCAGCUGCUGGAAGGCACCCAGCAAUUUUCAUCUGUCUUUUAAUUUUCCUUCAGAGGGUGCAUAAUAUAUUUUUGGAGUUGGUUAAUUCUCAAAACCUCUGGGUGCUAUUUAAAAAGUGGCAUUUAAGUGCUCUGCCUCUGCUUUUAAAAGUGCAAUGCAUUCUCAAUUUCAAACUUUUUUAGGUACCAAAGUCUUAGGGCAUUAUAAAUUCUGCUCUCACUAUGGCAAUUUGAGCACUAAUCUGCUCCCCCUCAACCCUGCCAGAUCAACAGGGUGUUGACAUUGAGUGAGAGAAUGGGUUGUAAAAUACACUUUACAUCUAUUCUGUAAGUCACUUAUUUGCUUUUGCUUUAUUUUUUUCCCAAGGAGAAACUCAUUUGAAAGUCUUUUGGUAAUGACAUUUUUAAUUGACCAAAAUAAAAUUUUCAAAAGUUCUCCUCUCCAAUAGGAUAAAGGUUAUAUACCCCUAUUUAAUAAGAUCUCCUCUCUUAGCAAAUCUCAAGUGUAUAAUUCAUUAUGACCUAUAUGCUGUACACUAGAUUUCCAGAACUUAUUCAUUUCAUAACUGAAAGUUUGUACCAAUAUCCUCCUAUCUCCUGCAGUCUCCAGCCCCUCAUGAUGACUGUCGUAUGUUUCUAUGAGUUUGGCAUUUUUAGAUUUCACAUGCAAAUGAAAUCAUACAGUAUAUAUCUGUCUUUGUUUGGCUUAUUUCACUUAGCAUAAUGUCCUCUAGGUUUGUUCAUGUAAUUGCAAAUGGCAGAAUUUUCUUUUUUUAUGGCUGAAUUGUUGCAUAUAUAUCAUAUCUAUAAUAUAUAGACCACAUUUUCUUUAUUGUCCAUCCAUUAAUGAACACAAAAGUUGUUUCCGUAUCUUGGCUGUUAUGAGUAAUACCAUGAGAACAUGUGAAUCCAUUUAUCUCUUCAAGAUACUGAUUUCAUUUUCUUUUUAUAUAUACCUACAAGUGAGAUUGCUGAAUCAUAUGGUAGUUAUAUUCUUAAUUUUUUUUCUUUUUUCUUUUUUCUUGUUAUAGCUGCACCUGCAUUAUAUGGAAGUUCCUAGGCUAGGGGCUGAAUCAGAGCUGCAGCUGAAGCCUACAUUACAGCCAUAUCAGUGCCAGAUCCGAGCCACAUCUGUGACCUAUACUGCAGCUCAUGGCAACUCCAGAUCCUUAACCCACAGAGCAAGGCCAAGGAUCAAACCUGUAUUCUCGUGGAUACUAGUUGGGUUCUUAAUCUGCUGAGCCACAACAGGAGCUCCAUAUUCUUAAUUUUUAAAGGAAACUAUUUUUUCAUAGUGGCUGUAUCAAUUUACAGUCCCCCCAGGAGUGUUCCAGUUUUUCCACAUCCUGACCAAAAUUUGUUAAUUUUUCCCUUUUUGAUAAUAGCCACCCUAUCAGGUAUGAGGAGAUACCUCAUUAUGGUUUCGAUUUCCAUUUCUCUGAUUACUAGUGAUCUUGAGUACCUUUCCUCUUGGCCAUUUGUAUGCUUCUUCUUCUUUAUUUAUCCAUUCAUUCAUUUUUAACAACUGAAGUAUAGUUGAUUUACAAUGUUGUAUUAAUUUCAAUUGUACCCCAAAAUGAUUUAGCCAUAUAUAUGUAUGUGUGUGUGUAUAUACACUUUUGAUUCUUUCCAUUAUACAUUUUUAUAAGAUACUGAAUAUAGUUCCCUGUGUUAUACAGUAGGUCCUUGUUGUUUAUCUGUUUUAUAUACAGUAGUGUGUAUCUAUUAAUCCUAAACUUCUAAUUUAUCCUUCUCUCCUUUGCUUUCCCUUUUGGUAGCCGUAGUUUGUUUUCUGUAUCUGUGACUCUAUUUCUGUUUUGUAAAUAAGUUCAUUUGUAUCACUUUUUUUUUAGAUUCCACUUUGCCCAUUUCAAAGUUGGAUUUUUUGUUGUUGUUGUUGUUUUUUGCUAUUGAGUUGAAUGAGUUUCUUACGUAUUUUGGCUAUUAGCCCUCUACUGAAUAUAUAGUUUGCAAAUAUUUUCUCCCAUUCCACAGGUUGCCUCUUCAUUGUGCUGAUAGUUUACUUUGCUGUGCAGAACAAUUGUUUAUUUUUGUUUUUGUUACCUGUACUUUUGGUGUCAUAUUCACAUUUUAUUUUAUUUUUUUUUAAUUUUUUUAUUUUUUUAUUAUUUUCCCACUGUACAGCAAGGGGGUCAGGUCAUCCUUAGAUGUAUACAUUGCAGUUACAGUUUUGCUUUUCCUCUGUGACUUCUAGGAAUUUUUCAGUUUUAAUUCAUAUGUUUAAGUCUUUACUUUGAAUUAAUUUUUGUGUAUAUUGUAAGAUAAAGGUUCGAUUUCAUUCUUUUGCAUGUGGAUAUCCAGUUUUCCUAACACCAUUUACUGAAGAGACUCUCCUUUUCCCAUUGACACAACUAACAGAAUGAUAUUCAUUGUUCAUGGCUUGGAAGAAUUAAUAUUAUUAAAAUAUCCAUAUGAUCCAAUGCUAUUUGCAGAUUCAAUAAAUUUCCUAUCAAAAUUCCAGUGGCAGUUUUCAUAGAAACAGAAAAGUAAUCCUAAAAUUUGAAUGGCGAUGAGGUACUCUAAAUAGUAUGGAAUAACAUCAAUAAGGAGACGGAGGUAGAAAAUUACAUUUAGUCAGUUUGGUUAAAUUAUAAAGGCUAAACUCAGCUACAUUUGGAAUCAUAAGAAUUUUUUGAAAAUGCUGCUUCUAGGGCUCUCCCCCUGAAAUUCUGAUACAGUUGUUCUAAAGGACAGCGUGGGUAUCAGGAUUUUCCAUAGUUCCCCAGAUACAUAAAAUGUGCGACCAAGGUAGAAAACUAUCAUUCUAGAUUAUAUAAAACUAAUUGAAAAAAAUUUUAAAUUAUAAGUUUGGAUCACAUGCUGAAAGAGAUUACAUAGAAGACUCUGAAAAUUGGGCUUUAUGAAUGGGAGAGUUUAUUAAGUAUUCUUUAAUCAAAUGGGUUUGGUUUCAAUCUUGGCUCUGCCAUGUGUUGUGAGCCCUUGGGUUUCUGAUUCUGCCUAGAGGGCAAGAUUUCCUCAGUGCCUAAAUCAAAACUUUAAUAAUAAAUGUUGCCCCUCAUGUAUAUACAAAAGUGAUCCUUCUGAGCCUUUAAUCAUGGAACCUGAACUCUGAGUUUGUUUUCUCAGUAUUGCAAUUCCUAAAUUUGUGCUGUUCUAGCUUACAUUCCUUGCUUGGUAGCCUUAUGACCAUCAUACAUUGGUAUGAGAUAGUUACCUGGGCUUCGAGGUGUCCUGGGUAGUUGUCAUGGGUACAGGUAUCUAGGCUGUGUUGAGGAGAGUCUACACUGAUGCACUACCACCUAAACUAAUCAUAUAAAGCUAUAUUGCCCUGUGUUAGGGAAGGACAGUGGCAGUAUUCGACUAAUAAAGCAUGAACAUACACAUACUCAAUAUAAGUAAAGACCCUACAUUAUAAUACAUAACUUUAACUUUGUGUUUAAACCGAUAUUAUUAGUUAGACUCAAGUAGAAGAGACCAGGAUAAUGUAUGUAAAAUAAUGAAAUCAUAUGAUGCAUACUCAAAUGGCAUGAAGAGAGAUUCUAAUAACACUGGCCACAGUUGCUAAAAAAAAUGAGAAGAGAUGAGGGUUGGUGUCAGUGAAGGAAGUUUCACAAAGGCAGUACAACCCGAAGACCCAGUGUGAAGAUAAAAUUUAUUCAAAUGUAAGGGGGUUAGAAGAGUUAAUAUAUUUUACUGUGGAAACAACUGUUCUAUUUUUCUUCUUAUUUGCUUCCUUAAAAGGAUCCAGCCCAUUCUAGAAGAAUGUGCUUCACUGCACAUACCCCACCAACAGGGACAGAAUGCAAAUAUCUUCCCUUACCUCAGGGGAGUGUUUGAAAACACUCUCUUGGAAAGGCAACCAAUUUAUUUGGUUGCUAAUUAUUUUGGCUCUGGUUUUAAUAAGCCUUCUACUGUAAAAGAUAAAGAGAAUAGUAAGGCUUUUUACCCCUCCUUUUUUGGUAAAGUGAUUUAAAGGCUGUGGACAAGUACCAUGUAGUAGUUAAGAUCAUGGAUUGUGGUGCCAAAUUAUUUGUGUUUGUAUCCCUGCUUAUCGUGUGACCUUGAGAAAAUUUAUUAUGCAUAUUCUCUCUGUGCCCUAGAGUCCUCAUCCAUAAAAUGAGAAUAAUAAUAGUACCUUUUCUUAAAUGGUCGUAACGAGGUUACUAUUAUUGUUGUUUUUAUUAUUUGUUGUCAUAUUAUGUUUGGCCUGGAUCCCUGAGAAUGGAUGGGGAGUGGAUGGUAUAGACAGAUGGGAUCACAGUCUUCUAAAUGAUUCCUGGGUAAUUGCCUAGGAAAUUGUGUGUAUGUAUGCAUGUGUGAAUGUGUGCAUACAUGUGUGUGCUGGGGAAGGAGAGCUGGAAAUGAGGCAAAGUCCUGCCUGGAUAGUCUUUUGAGCACGCUAGAGAAGGACUCUAUCAAGAACACUGUUUUGGUACCCAAGCAAUUGGAUUUCUCCCCUGCACCCAGCUGCCUUGUCUGUGUCUAAUGAAGAAUCUACUCUGCCUGUACCCAGGACCCAGCCAGUUGAUUCUGCAACCACUGAGAGAAGAAAUGGUACACAUAUGCUAUUUUUAAAGGUGUUUUCUCUACCAGUUGGGAGUGCAGCAGAAGUAUAGGCCAUUGGUAGCACAGGAAUUUGGUUUGUCUCCAAAUUAGUGUGGACAGCUAUCAAGUCUGCAAACCACACACAAAAUCCCCUAUAACACCUUCUCUAAAAGGGGGGCCUGGGCACUACAGAGUCAGUAUUGGGGUAAUUCCUCUAAACCUGUAUAUCUGGGGUCCCUGAAUCAGAUGUCUAAGUCUGAGACCCCCAACCUAGAAUAUUAUUUAAUGCCAUCUCCUGUUACGAAGGGCUGAGACUUAAAAUCAUAGAAGGACCCCUUUUUAAAGAACUGCUUGUUCUGUGGAAGGAGCCCCUCAGACAAGUGCUCUGGGGCAGUGCCACCCAGUGUGAUCCUUGACCACAGCAUUAGUGCCACUUGGGAGCUCAUGAGACAAGCAGAAUCUCAGGUUCCCUUCCAGAUCUGCUGGAUCAGAACCUCCCUCAACAAGGUCCCAGGAGACUUAGGUGUGCAUUAGAGUUUGAGCAGCUCUGGUGCCGUGGACUUAAAUGAGUCACACACCUUCUCUGGGUCCCUUGAGUCACAAAACACUGUGAAAGACUUUGGUUUAUCAUCUCCCAAAGUUCAAGAAAGUUCAAAGUUUCCUGGGAAAGCAGAGGUAAUGUUAAUAAGCAUGGCAAGUACAGCUAAACCUCUUCUUUGAAUUAGCCACUGAAGAAAUAUCCAAAAAAAUUCAUGCAAUUCUUCAUUUGGGUACUUUUUAACCCUCAGAGCUCUUGAAGGGAGAAGUGCCUCUGGAAUGCAGCAUUGCCCUUAGAUCCUUCAGACACGGAGAUCAAAGGUGAAAGUCAUCAAAGUGUUUGUGGGCUCAAAAGCAAAAAGACAUCAGUUCUGAAAUACAAGAGUUGUGCUGAGGUGGUUUUUGUCCCUUUGUGUGUCCUUAUGAGGAAGAGUGCUUCUUGAGCCUUUGAACCCUAGAGUCCUGCCAGUUUGAGUGGAAGAGGUGGCAUUUUCCUUUAAGCUGCAGGUUGCCUUCUGUUCAGAUCCUCAAGCAUCAAGGUCAGGUCCCGUUCAGAAUAACUGAAUGUUAAUUGACUUGCUGGGAAUUAACGUGCAUUAUCUUGUUUAUACCAGUGUUCUGCUGGCAGUUUGUAAAUCAUUCUCUGGAGGGCUCUGACAUGGAUUUGAAGUUUAUUUCUGUUUUAUAGGAAUAGGGUUAAUCUCUAGCUAUGCUAGAGGGUUAGAGAAAUUAGAUAGAAUGUGGCGGUGGGGGCAGGGGACCUCUCCCUUGCACACUCCUGUAUCAUGAAUGAUCACCACAAUUGGCAGGGAUUAUGGAGACUAUGUUUACCUCCAGGUAAGAAGCAGACUGGCUCUAUAAUUAGGUUAACACUUUCCUGGGAGACUUUAUUUUGCUCUUUACCUUUUCCAAAUGGAUAUAGGCUCUUGCUUGCUUGAGCUUUCCCUUGGCAGCUAACCAACACACACAAUACACACGCACACACGCAUGCGUGCAGAGGCACAGACUGGCUGGCACACUCGUAAAGACCAUGCAAGGUGACCCCAGUGAUUUGUAUGGCUACCCCUUGCCAUGGUCCAUUUCUCAGUGAGUUGGGCAGUCUUCCAAAUACUCAGCAGCUCUCUAUGCAGUAAUCACUUUGACUUCAUUGAAACCCCAAGCAAGAGGUGUACAGUUCCCCUACAUAAUGCUCUAUUUUUGGUUUACAUUAACUGUAAUCCCACUGUUGCUUAUUUCUCUUGCUGCCGACCAAGUAAUUUUAGGGAAGUCACUGGGCUUCAGUUUCCUUAUGUAUACAAUUAAGUAACUUACCUUUUAGCUACAGCCUUGGUUUUAUGCCUUUUUCCUUGGUUUCAGGGAAUAAAACGGUUGCCAGCUCCCAGGCUACUCAUCUUAGACCUGAAGCCUGGAACUGCAGUGCUGUAUUGAAAACUGUAGUGGCCUUAGAGGGUUAGUUUAGAAUUCUGGAUCUGCCUCUGUCUUACUGUUCAUCUGACCUUAGGCAAAUCUCUUGGAUCUUCAAUUUCGUCAUCAGAAAAAUGGGGAUGAAUAUUCUGUCUUUCUUACCCUGCGGGGCUAUGAUGAGAGUGUGCUGAUCAGUACGGAGGCUGAUAAAUUGCUAGGUUUUUCUGAUCUGUCCUUUUAGUGAGGGAGGUGCCAUCAAACUGGUCCUAGUCCCUGAGUGUUCUGAGUUAGCCACCCUUGCAGGGCAGAAUUCUAUAGGGAUACCAUUCCUGGGCGACCCUCAGUACCAUCCAAGCAGUUUUUAGGGGAAAGAGUCAGACAUAUAAAAUGGACGUGAAGGCAGUUUUGAGAACCAGUGAUGUGAAGGCAAGGAAAUCUUACCAUUCUCUUGAUCUUCAAUCCUGAUCAUCGCUGUAUAUGCAAGGAUGUCCCUUCUCACAUUUAAUGCCUGAGGUACAGUGCAGACAAGGAUGGAGUCUGUAGGGGACUGUCCUGCUGUCGUCUUAUUAAGCUUGACAAAUAUAGCUUCUAGUCUUGAUUCUUAAUUUUCUUGCCGAUAUGAUAAAUAGAAAUCAUCUGUGACACAACUGUUGGAAAUGAACUUCCUAAGAGCUAUACAUCUUUUGGGAACUCUUUCAACUUGAACUAUAUUUAGCCUCUCUCAGCCCUCUUUAAAGCACUAACUGGGGCACUGCAAUAUUAGGGGUUGAUAAAGGAAGAGGAGGUAGAGAGGAACAGCAUCAAUCUGUUUCUACUUAGACCAUUUUGCUACCUGUUAGAGUUGGUUUUGGAACUGACACCAGUUAGUUAAAUUCUGUGCCUAAGGAAUAGCUUUGGGAUGAGAACCUGGAGUUUAUGCAUAUGGCUUCACAAGCCACAAAGUCUUAGGCUUAGUCCUUCCCUUCACUCUUCCUCUGAUCCAGAUACACCUGUCUGGAAAUGAACUCGGCAACCUAUGUUCAGAGCCUCGGUCCCAGGCUGGUACUAUUAAGGACUUUGGAGGAGGGGGAGGGAUAGAGAGAAAAAAUAACCCUAUCCAGAACUAUGAUUCAAAAUUAAAGAGGCAAAACAAAAUUCUCAGGAGGUGAGUGUUUUAUUUGUCUUAAUUCGUUUCACUUUAAUUUGUCAGUGAAAUGAGAUAAGAACAUCUGUCUCCUGCUCAAUAGGAGCCAUGUUCUUUCAGGUAAGAAUGAUAAUGUGGGGGGAAUACAUUUCUGCAGACUUGCCCUAAUCUAUUUCUGGGGUAAUGGACUUGCACAGUGGCCUCAAGUGCAGCUGUUAAUAGCUUCUUACAUCUUCCAGCAGAAAAGCACUAGAGCUGUUUUCAGAUAUAUGUUCACUUUGAGGAAAAGAACAACAGACCUUCUG